AUUGAACGCUGGCGGCAUGCCUUACACAUGCAAGUCGAACGGUAACGCGGGGCAACCUGGCGACGAGUGGCGAACGGGUGAGUAAUGCAUCGGAACGUGCCCAGUAGUGGGGGAUAGCUCGGCGAAAGCCGGAUUAAUACCGCAUACGACCUACGGGUGAAAGCGGGGGACCGUAAGGCCUCGCGCUAUUGGAGCGGCCGAUGUCAGAUUAGGUUGUUGGUGGGGUAAAGGCCUACCAAGCCGACGAUCUGUAGCUGGUCUGAGAGGACGACCAGCCACACUGGGACUGAGACACGGCCCAGACUCCUACGGGAGGCAGCAGUAGGGAAUUUUGGACAAUGGGGGCAACCCUGAUUCAGCCAUGCCGCGUGCGGGAAGAAGGCCUUCGGGUUGUAAACCGCUUUUGUCAGGGAAGAAACGCUUCGAGCUAAUACCUCGAGGUAAUGACGGUACCUGAAGAAUAAGCACCGGCUAACUACGUGCCAGCAGCCGCCGUAA
rnacentral:rRNA from 1 species